UACGGGGGGAGCAAGCGUUGUUCGGAUUUACUGGGCGUAAAGGGCGCGUAGGCGGCCAGUGCAAGUCAGUUGUGAAAUCUCCGAGCUUAACUCGGAAAGGUCAACUGAUACUGCUCGGCUAGAGUGCGGAAGGGGCAACUGGAAUUCUUGGUGUAGCGGUGAAAUGCGCAGAUAUCAGGAGGAACACCAAUGGCGAAGGCAGCUCGCUGGGACGGUACUGACGCUGAGACGCGAAAGCGUGGGGAGCAAACAGG
rnacentral:rRNA from 1 species